rnacentral:rRNA from 1 species
AUUGAACGCUGGCGGCAGGCCUAACACAUGCAAGUCGAGCGAGCGGCGGACGGGUGAGUACUGUCUGGGAAACUGCCUGAUGGAGGGGGAUAACUACUGGAAACGGUAGCUAAUACCGCAUACCAUCAGAUGUGCCCAGAUGGGAUUAGCUAGUAGGUGGGGUAACGGCCCACCUAGGCGACGAUCCCUAGCUGGUCUGAGAGGAUGACCAGCCACACGGGAACGGAGACACGGUCCAGACUCCUACGGGGGGCAGCAGUGGGGAAUAUUGCACAUUGGGCGCAGGCCUGAUGCAGACAGGCCGCGUGUGUGAGGAGGGCCUUCGGGUUGUAAGGCACUUUCAGCGGGGAGGCGUUACCCGCAGAAGAAGCACCGGCUAACUCCGUGCCAGCAGCCGCGGUAAUAC